rnacentral:rRNA from 1 species
CGUAACACGUAUGCAAUCUGCCCACAGCCGGGGUAUAGCCCUCCGAAAGGAGGAUUAACACCCCAUAGAAAGACGAGAUGGCAUCAUUUGUUUUUAAACCACGGGGCUGUGGAUGAGCAUGCGCUUGAUUAGCUAGUUGGCGGGGUAAUGGCCCACCAAGGCGAUGAUCAAUAGGGGACCUGAGAGGGUGAUCCCCCACACUGGCACUGAGAUACGGGCCAG